GACGGGGGAUGCAAGUGUUAUCCGGAAUCACUGGGCGUAAAGCGUCUGCAGGUGGUUUCCUAAGUCCACUGUUAAACCUUGAGGCUCAACCUCAAAUCUGCAUUGGAAACUAGGAGACUUGAGUAUAGUAGGGGUAGAGGGAAUUUCCAGUGGAGCGGUGAAAUGCGUAGAUAUUGGAAAGAACACCGGUGGCGAAGGCGGCCUGCUGGGCAGUGGCUGACGCUGAGGCGCGACAGCGUGGGGAGCAAACAGG
rnacentral:rRNA from 1 species